ACAUCUAGACGUAUCUCUUCAUGGAAGUGUCCUUGAGUUCCAUCCUUGGAGAUGGGAGCUUUCUUCGGCCAGUGAAGAAAGAGAGAGACUAAGAAAGGAUGUUAUUGCAUGGAAGAAGCAGAAGAGUGGGGAAGCAGAGGGUGGAAAGGCACAUGAUUCCCUUGUCAAGGCUGAUUUCAAAAGAAAAGAAUAUUCAGUUCCAGGACAGGUAGAUCCAUAUACUUAGUUUUCUAUCCAACUAAUACACAUCAAUUUGCUUCUGAUGAACUACAGGGGAGGUACAUUUGUCCUAGGUUGGCCAUUUAAGUAAUCCUUAUUAUGAGAGUUGUCAUGAAUCAGGGUACCUAGGUCCUAAAUACUUGUAUGCCCUUUAAUGAUAUGAAUUUGUGACACUCAAGUAAUGAAUUCCUGCAUCACAGUGUAAAAGGUACAAUUUCUUGGUAUGACUGCAUGGGACAUCAAUCUUAAAAGUUUAUCUACAGUUGUAUUUCUUAUUGGAGAUAUGCAAUAUUAUGUUAAAUGGAACACUGCAAAGAGUAUGAUGCAUAAUGCAUCAAAUGCAUCAGUCUCGCAGCUACACUCGCAAAUAGAUAGGCCACUCGUGCUUCCAUUUGACUGUGUUAUUUAGACAUAAUGCAUCAAAUGCAUCAGUCUUGAAAUUGUGAAAUGCUUCCUUGCAGAGUUUUGUUUU